AUGAUAUGAUAGAUCUAUUAUCUAGACCUGAUAAGGUCUAUGGUACAGCUGUGGCUAACAUUUGUCUAGUGUAGUGCACCUGUCGUAGCACUUUCCUUUAAACUUUUAAAGUCGACCGAUUUGUCCGUGCACAGUUCACGACUUCACGUUCGUUUCGCGUCAGCCGCCGGUCUGUCCAGAGUAUUAUCGCAAACGAUUUGUUCCGACAUCCGCAGUGAUAGCGACUAAUUGAAGAAAUGAUAAAGAAAUUCGAAAAUGCAAUUUUGCUGAUCGAUUAAUUAGGAAAAUACGCUACGAUAUUACACGGUAGGUACGUCUAUACAGCGCAGUAUGACGAAAAAAUAUCAACUGUUAAGUGCGAAAUUAAUGAAAUAAAAACCAGAAGAUUACAGAUCGGCACUGUCAAUUUUGUAUUCUGAUAACUGACGAGAGUUUGUGAAUUCAUCUAGCUAUGUAAAAAUGGUUUAUGGCAAACCACGGCAUAGCCAGAGCCAAUACUCGGUAGAAUAUGCUUAUAGAGAUAUUAAAGCAGUCUUAGCUGCAUGGAUGUCGGACAAUAAUAGUGAAGAUUGGCCAAACGUUUUCAAAUUAAUCCAUUUUCAAAAAAAUCAAGUGUUUAAUUCAGGUCGUUCUCCUUAUGGACCCAUGUUUGGCUGUUCUAAAAACUUGGAUUAGCUUCAACAAAUAUUCCUUACAAUGACAUUUCUAAAUUGAAAUUGGUAGAAGACUUUGAAAAUGUAUGAAAGCUCUAUAGAACGUGAAGUUGAAGAUGAUGGUAGUGUUUGAAAUUAAGCCUGGAAUGAAAGUUUCCUGACAACCCAGCUAACUACAACCCAAUAAUGUUAAUAUGUACAUUAUGAGAUGAAUAUAUGAUACUAUUCUUUGUUCAAAGUCUUAGUGUCUUCAUUAUACCAAGUGGAUUGUCGAAUACUCUAAUAGAUGGAUUCCAAUUCGUUGGACAAGGUAAUAUUUUAUAUUAUAUAUUAUAUUUUAUAUUUAUAUUAUAUUAUUUUUAUACUUGUUGAGUUAUUUUUAUAAUAAGUUUUUCAUUGUAAAUAGAUUUUAAAAUUCCAUUCAAUGUAAACUCGUAUAUUUUGAUUCAUGAUUUUUUAUGUAAAAAUCAUAGCAUAAUAAAAACCUAUACAACAAAUAUUAGUUGAUUUGAUAAGUAUUCAUAUUCAUAUUACAAUUGUUUUUUACAAUAAUUAGUUGAUUACUAUAAAUGUGUAUUGUAUAGGAUUAUCAGGAGCUCAGUCUGCAUGCCCGAAACGGCACCUUUCUCUUGUGAGACAGACUAUAGAAAUUAAAUUUAGUAUUUGAACUUACAGUUUAUUAAUAUUUCUCCUUUGAGCAGAAAGUAUUAUAAUGUGUAACAGACAAUAGUAUAUUUAAUAAG